GACGAACGCUGGCGGCGUGCUUAACACAUGCAAGUCGAACGGGCCUUGUCCCCUUUUUUUUUGGGGGUGGGGUUAGUGGCGAACGGGUGAGUAACACGUGAGUAACCUGCCCCUCACUUCUGGAUAACCGCUUGAAAGGGUGGCUAAUACGGGGUGUUCUGGCCUGCUCGCAUGGGUGGGUUUGGAAAGAUUCGACCGGUUUUGGUUGUUUUGGUGGGGGAUGGGCUCGCGGCCUAUCAGCUUGUUGGUGGGGUGAUGGCCUGCCAAGGCUUUGACGGGUAGCCGGCCUUAGAGGGUGGGCGGUCACACUGGGACUGAGACACGGCCCAGACUCCUACGGGAGGCAGCAGUGGGGAAUAUUGCACAAUGGGCGCAAGCCUGAUGCAGCGACGCCGCGUGAGGGAUGGAGGCCUUCGGGUUGUGAACCUCUUUCGCCAGUGAAGAAGGUCCUGCUCUUUGUGGUGGGGUUGACGGUAGCUGGGUUAAUGAAGCGCCGGCUAACUACGUG
rnacentral:rRNA from 1 species